UAUAAAUAGAUAACUCAAUGCGACUUAUUAGUUUAUUCAUAAAUUAAGUAAUAAAUCUUUAGGUGAAGAUUGUAGCGAGUGGUAAUGAUGAACAAGGGACACUUUGGAUUUUUCUUCAUUUUAUUUAUUCUCCUUACUUGCGGUAAGUCUUAUAUGUUUGUCAUUAAAACAUAUAAUUAAUAUGAAAAUUAUGAUUUAUUUUUUUACUAAAUGUAAAUUCAUUUAAUUAAGUUGUGUUGGAUAAAAAAAAUCGAUCAAUUAAUGCAGAUAUGAUGGAACAAACUGAGGGAUGGGGCUGUGAGCCUGCCGAAUGUGAUUUGAAAUGUAUUGCUCCAGGUUAUCCGCGUGGUGGUCAAUGCAUUAAUAAAAUUAGAUGCUUCUGCAAGAAAUCCAUUGCGGGGGUAAUGAAAGAUCAUAUGCAAGGCGAGCAUUUGUAAAUAGUUCCGUUUAUUAUUAGCACAUGAGUGUUCGAGUAGAGAUCCUUUUCAUUUUUAAAAAAAAUUUGAUGGUCUUAAUUACUAGUAUAGUUUUAG
rnacentral:lncRNA from 1 species